rnacentral:rRNA from 1 species
UACGUAGGCAGCGAGCGUUGUUCGGAGUUACUGGGCGUAAAGGGUGUGUAGGCGGUUCUUUUAAGUUUGGCGUGAAAUCUCCCGGCUCAACCGGGAGGGUGCGUCGAAUACUGAAGGACUAGAGUACGGGAGAGGAAAGUGGAAUUCCUGGUGUAGCGGUGAAAUGCGUAGAUAUCAGGAGGAACACCGGUGGUGUAGACGGCUUUCUGGACCGUAACUGACGCUGAGACACGAAAGCGUGGGUAGCAAACAGG